rnacentral:RNase_P_RNA from 1 species
AAACAAGUUUGAGUGAUCGCCCCCGCCGUUGGCGUGGGGAGGAAAGUCCGAGCACCACGGGAAAUCGUAGCCGGUAACACCGCGUCGUAAAAUGAUUAAUUCCGCCAACGGCGGGACCAAGCAUUUUAUAGGGAAAGUGCCACAGAGACAAUACUAUCCGUCCCCAAACCCGCCUAGGUGGGUCAACUAGGAUGGAGAAAGGUGAAAAGCCCCCGCUUCAGCGGGGGACUGCCCCCUCGGGGCAAGUUGGUAAACCCUACGAGGUCGCAAGGUGAGACGGAAGAGUCUGUUUGCCCCCAAAUGCAUUCAUGCUCUCUCACCGCUCGAGCCACCCAGCGCAAGCUUCCGCCUUAGGCGGAUUGGCGGCCUAGAUAGAUGAUCACCAGUCGUGCAGCAAAGCGGAACGACUCGCGAGCUAAGGCGAGCGUAGCGUCCGCCGGAGGCGGAUACAUUAUCCCAACUGCAUGUAGACAAAACUCGGCUUAUGACAACGAGUUUAGGA